ACCGCCGUUAGCGAUUCUCACCUUCUCUUGUUUAUACUUCUUCUUCACCGUAUCGAUCCUAUUCUUAC
rnacentral:sRNA from 1 species